rnacentral:rRNA from 1 species
AGUGAACGCUGGCGGUAGGCCUAACACAUGCAAGUCGAACGGCAGCACAGGAGAGCUUGCUCUCUGGGUGGCGAGUGGUGGACGGGUGAGGAAUACAUCGGAAUCUACUUUUUCGUGGGGGAUAACGUAGGGAAACUUACGCUAAUACCGCAUACGACCUACGGGUGAAAGCAGGGGAUCUUCGGACCUUGCGCGAUUGAAUGAGCCGAUGUCGGAUUAGCUAGUUGGCGGGGUAAAGGCCCACCAAGGCGACGAUCCGUAGCUGGUCUGAGAGGAUGAUCAGCCACACUGGAACUGAGACACGGUCCAGACUCCUACGGGAGGCUGCAGUGGGGAAUAUUGGACAAUGGGCGCAAGCCUGAUCCAGCCAUACCGCGUGGGUGAAGAAGGCCUUCGGGUUGUAAAGCCCUUUUGUUGGGAAAGAAAUCCAGCUGGUUAAUACCCGGUUGGGAUGACGGUACCCAAAGAAUAAGCACCGGCUAACUUCGUGCCAGCAGCCGCAGUAA